ensembl:lncRNA
UGGUCUACCAAAUACAUUAAAUAAUUUAGAUUAAGUUAGUUGUAGUUGUUGUUGUGUAACCGAGGACAAAGGAUGAGUAAAUGGGGCAAAGAUAUAAAUUGAUAAUGUAUUUAUUACAUUAAUUAGACAUACAAAUUCCCAGUUAUUUCCAGACAGGACUUACAACACAUCCUGCUGAUAUCCCAGCUGCACAUGAGACUUACGACACAAACGUUGUGAAAAUAACACAACACUGCAACCCGUCACACCCCGCUUAGCGACACUGCAAUCGUGGCACGCACUGCAAACUAUUUGGGUCUCAGCGCAGCUGGGAAUCAGCUCUAUGCAUGACCUGCGAUCUGGGAGAUAAAGGGAAGUGGCACAAACAAUUAAAAUAAAAAAAAACAAAAGAGAGGUUAGUCCGCCCUUACACAACUUAGCCUACUCUCAAUCAAUAACCGCCUCUACGGCUGGACGGACUAACCAAAACAAAAUUACAAAUCAAUCAAAAGAACAAAAAAAGGACAGCAGAGACAGCACAGCUGAAAAACACAAACAACAUUAUCGAUUAAAAUGUUACCCAAUAAAAUAUCAAUUUUAUGAAACCAUUCAAAAUCAUGAAGCUAAAACAAACACUCAAUAUACCUACAAUAUUGAUUAGUUUCCCUGCGCGCCGUCGAUCAAUCCUUCUAUUAAAAUUUGUGGUCACACUAAAAAAAGUCCAACAAGACAUUAAAAAUAGGCACAUACAAUAGCAAAUGAUCUAAACAAAAAUGGCAAACGUCACUUACCGACUAGUGAUGGGUCCUGCAACACUGACGCACCGACGCAUGUAUCAAGCUCACAGAGCGAAGCCUGUCUCGAAGCGUGCGUCGCUUUAAGACAAAGUCACGUGAUCGAUCCAGCUGCUGUAUCGCUCAUUGCCAACGCGCCAGACUGUCUUUAAAAGGUACCGCAUCUGCAUCUGCCAACGGAAUGAGUCGCCACCAAAAAAACCACAAAAUUACUCUCACAAAGUUAAAAAAAAAAACAAACAAAAACAAAAAAAAAAACAAUACACAUCUCUCCAUAACAAAACGGAGCCCGAAAGAAAAAGAAAUGUUUCUGCUGUGUGAGAUCAUUCUGAUCUUUUAACUGCAAAUAAGGUAUCUGUUUGUUUCAGUGUAAUCAAUCUGAAUAGGAAAAACAGCAAUGUGACUUGAAGUGUAAAUUAUUUAUUUCAUUUAAUACUUACAGACAUAAAGUGGGGCUUUAAUAAAGCUUCCUGCAAUAAAACAAUGUACACAUACACACACGAAAUCCGCUUCAACAGUUAUUUUAAAUGAGACCUAUUUGUAGAAACAAGCACGAACUUAUUAUUGUUUAAGUUUAUGUAACACAGACAGCGGCAUAAACAUACAGAUGUUAGUUUUUCAGUCAUUUUAAUCCAACACAAGCAAGAAAUACCUGCGUGUAUAUAAGUAACAUUCAUUUUGUGGUUCACUGGGGCAGGAAGUAGGUGUUUUUUUUUUUCUUUUCGGCAAAGAGGUGGGGAAAAGAACUUGUUUCCGGUAGAGCUCGGCUUUGACAGCGUUGCGUUCACGCGCUACUUCUUUUGACGGAUUCUUUCGUUUAAGAACAUUUUAUUUUGUCUCGGUCGUUAAAGAGACGGUAGAAAUAACGCAGAGGUGGUAUUCAGACGUUAUUAGAAAGUUUAAGGACGAUAGCCAGACGACUUUGAAGGAGAAGAAGGACCGUGUUUAGUUUUAGAGAGAAGCUUCAUGAACAGGCGUCGAGCAGACAUCGCCCUCUCCCUCCGCCUUUUCUCGAACGUCGAAAUAGGACACUUGACACUUUGGUUGGGCCAACCCAUGCCGACUAAAACGGGUUUCAAGAAUUGGAUAUGGAUAUUGUUGCGCUGCACACGAAUGGCCUCAAUGCUGAAAAACGUUCAGUGACAGCGGGCUGCUGACCGAGUUGGCACAAAGUGGAGGACAUUGGCUGAUAUGUGAUGUGAAGUCACGAUCAAGAAAAAAGGACAACCAGUAGAUUCCUGCAGACUGAUGUUACAUCCAUUACGUGCAGUUUUUGGGUCCUGAUCAGAUCGGAGUGGUACAAAAGUUGAAGUGAAAAGUUCCAGACCGGCUUGGAGCGCUUGCCCAGAACUAAUGACGAGUGAUGAUACAGUCAUAGACUCCUCCCUUUCUGCGAGUAUUGUGAAAUAUGAAGAUACAUUCAGGGGAUUCCUGCUGAAUUUGUGUGUUAAUGUUCGUGCUGGUGUUUCAUCUAGAGCAGGUUGUUUUCAUGGAUCCUGUUAAAAGGGAAGAUUUUCUCCUGAAUGACAACAUUUUGAUCUCUCAAAAAUGUAUUUCACAUAAUAUUCCUGUAAAAAAAAAAAAAAAAAGUAUUUCUAAGCACAAUCACUGUGCCAUCAUUUGAAAACACUGCCACUGUUUUAACAUAAACAUCUCAUUUCCUGUUGGAUUUAUUUAAACACUGACUGAAAUCAUACAGUGAGAUUUUUGACAUUGAUAGACCUCAAUUACCCUAAUUCACACAUUAAUCAAAAAGACAUUAGAUGAAAAAUUAAAUAUGAUAAAUAAACAACAAAAUCAAAUGUGGGUUUCUGACACUGUUGCAGUACAGAGAGGGACAGUCCUGAGAGUGAGGAAGACGAGCUGUGAGGGAGAGGAAGAGGGACAACCAGCGGUUUGUGAUGUUGAACAGACCUGUGUGACUGCGAGUGUCGUGUCAUUACAAUUCAUACAGUCAUUGUAACUGACAGUAAUGAACAAUAAUGACAGAAUAAAGUAAUAAGUUAACACUGAUCAGUUAUUGUCCUCAGUUACAGCCUCAUGUUUACUCUGCAUUCAUCUCUUAUCAGACGUACAAAGAUGAUCCACCAGUGCUGCCCAGUUUGAGGACAUUUCCAGUCACAUUAAUGGGGGACAGGAGUCGUAGCUUCCAUCAAAGCUGAGUUUCUACCAGAGCCAAAUGUCAUCGACUCCUCACUGAAGUCGUCCACCAGUCCAACCACUGGGAUCCAGCUGCUGCUCUCUAACUGGUCCACACGGCAGCUCAGACCUGACACAUUCACUGUAAACACACUGGUUUAUAUUCUGUUUGUUCUCCUCAUGAAGGAAACCUCACACAACCUCUGAGUUCAAAUCACUGAAAGUUCAAAUGGAAAGUUAUUGUUUUCUUUUAUAAAGAAGCAGAAGAAGAAUGUUACCAUAAAGAUUUUAUUUACUUUUCAUACUUGAGGGAACAAUUCUUCACCAGGCCUUUCAGAAUAAAAGCAUGACCGAGACAUAAUUUACACAUAAACAAUAAUAAAUGGUAUGUAACUAAAAUGUAGAUGUAAUCCAUGUUUUCAUGUCUUCAGUAGCUUUGCUGUUAUUUAUGUUAUUUCUAAGUGUGCUGUCGUCUCCACAGCAGUGAUCUGGUUUCUCUGCAGGUUCAAUAAACUUUGGUCUCACUUGAUCUUCUCGUGUGCUUCUGUGGGUUUCACAAAGAUGUCUGAUGGAAAACGUGAGUCGU